AGAGUUUGAUCCUGGCUCAGGACGAACGCUGGCGGCGUGCCUAAUACAUGCGAGUCGAGCGAACCUGAUAAAAGCUUGCUUUUUGAAGGUUAGCGGCGGACGGGUGAGUAACACGUGGGCAACCUGCCUGUAAGACUGGGAUAACUUCGGGAAACCGGAGCUAAUACCGGAUAAUAUAAAGAACCUCCUGGUUCUUUAUUGAAAGAUGGUUUCGGCUAUCACUUACAGAUGGGCCCGCGGCGCAUUUGCUAGUUGGUGAGGUAACGGCUCACCAAGGCGACGAUGCGUAGCCGACCUGAGAGGGUGAUCGGCCACACUGGGACUGAGACACGGCCCAGACUCCUACGGGAGGCAGCAGUAGGGAAUCUUCCACAAUGGACGAAAGUCUGAUGGAGCAACGCCGCGUGAGCGAUGAAGGCCUUCGGGUCGUAAAGCUCUGUUGUUAGGGAAGAACAAGUACCGGAGUAACUGCCGGUACCUUGACGGUACCUAACCAGAAAGCCACGGCUAACUACGUGCCAGCAGCCGCGGUAAUACGUAGGUGGCAAGCGUUGUCCGGAAUUAUUGGGCGUAAAGUGCGCGCAGGCGGUUUCUUAAGUCUGAUGUGAAAGCCCACGGCUCAACCGUGGAGGGUCAUUGGAAACUGGGAAACUUGAGUGCAGAAGAGGAAAGUGGAAUUCCACGUGUAGCGGUGAAAUGCGUAGAGAUGUGGAGGAACACCAGUGGCGAAAGCGACUUUCUGGUCUGUAACUGACGCUGAGCGCGAAAGCGUGGGGAGCAAACAGGAUUAGAUACCCUGGUAGUCCACGCCGCAAACGAUGAGUGCUAAGUGUUAGAGGGUUUCCGCCCUUUAGUGCUGCAGCUAACGCAUUAAGCACUCCGCCUGGGGAGUACGUCGCAAGCUGAAACUCAAAGGAAUUGACGG
rnacentral:rRNA from 1 species